rnacentral:rRNA from 1 species
UGGGGAAUUUUGGACAAUGGGCGAAAGCCUGAUCCAGCAAUGCCGCGUGUGUGAAGAAGGCCUUCGGGUUGUAAAGCACUUUUGUCCGGAAAGAAAUCCUUGGCUCUAAUACAGUCGGGGGAUGACGGUACCGGAAGAAUAAGCACCGGCUAACUACGUGCCAGCAGCCGCGGUAAUACGUAGGGUGCAAGCGUUAAUCGGAAUUACUGGACGUAAAGCGUGCGCAGGCGGUUUGCUAAGACCGAUGUGAAAUCCCCGGGCUCAACCUGGGAACUGCAUUGGUGACUGGCAGGCUAGAGUAUGGCAGAGGGGGGUAGAAUUCCACGUGUAGCAGUGAAAUGCGUAGAGAUGUGGAGGAAUACCGAUGGCGAAGGCAGCCCCCUGGGCCAAUACUGACGCUCAUGCACGAAAGCGUGGGGAGCAAACAGGAUUAGAUACCCUGGUAGUCCACGCCCUAAACGAUGUCAACUAGUUGUUGGGGAUUCAUUUCCUUAGUAACGUAGCUAACGCGUGAAGUUGACCGCUUGGGGAGUACGGUCGCAAGAUUAAAACUCAAAUGAAUUGACGGGGUCAUAGCUGUUUCCU